AACACCAGCAUCCUUUGUUGCCUGGCGCUGAGAGUCGUUGAAGUAGGCCGGCACUGUCACAACGGCAUUCUUGACUGUGGAACCCAAGUAAGCCUCAGCAAUUUCACGCAUCUUGAUCAAGACCAUUGAAGAUAUCUCUUCAGCAGCAAACUGCUUAUCCUCGCCCUUGUAUUGUACGCCAAUCAUCGGCUUAUCUCCAGGCCCGGGUGUGACCUUAAAAGGCCAGAGCUUCAUGUCACCCUGGACAGAUGCAUCACUGAAUCUCCGGCCGAUGAGGCGCUUGGCAUCAAACACCGUAUUGAUCGGGUUCAUCGCAACCUGGUUCUUGGCCGCAUCGCCGAUGAGCCGCUCGCUGUCGGUGAAGGCGACGUAAGAGGGGGUGGUGCGGUUCCCCUGG
rnacentral:misc_RNA from 1 species